ACGAACGCUGGCGGCGUGCUUAACACAUGCAAGUCGAGCGGUAAGGCCCUUUCGGGGGUACACGAGCGGCGAACGGGUGAGUAACACGUGGGUGACCUGCCCUCAGCUCUGGGAUAAGCCUGGGAAACCGGGUCUAGUACUGGAUAUGACUCCAUGACGCAUGUUGUGGGGUGGAAAGCCUUGUGCGGCUGAGGAUGGGCCCGCGGCCUAUCAGCUUGUUGGUGGGGUGAGGCCUACCAAGGCGACGACGGGUAGCCGGCCUGAGAGGGCGACCGGCCACACUGGGACUGAGACACGGCCCAGACUCCUACGGGAGGCAGCAGUGGGGAAUCUUGCGCAAUGGGCGAAAGCCUGACGCAGCGACGCCGCGUGAGGGAUGACGGCCUGG
rnacentral:rRNA from 1 species